ACCCCUCAAAGAGUUGUUGCAAGGGUUCUUAACGUGCAAAGAGCGUGGCACUCUCUUUACACGAGGCAUCGGAUUUAACGUCCCCAUUCUGACCGGACGUGGCUGCAAAUUUGUACAUCCCGCACAGCCAAACGGACGCCCCACUUUAGCACGGGUUUUACUGCCGGUCGGAGGAAGACCAAUGGUGACCAUACUUCUAUACCCCAGUCGCCCUUGGGGUCUAAGUGAGUGUGACGAUCGGCAAUUGUAACACAUGUACUUGAAUUAAAGUUCAACUCUCAAAAUGCAGACAAGUUCAUAGAUAAUAGUAAGGCUUUUCAAAUGAAACUACUUUUUUCGCUUUUUUUCAACAAAGUAUUGCUGUGUAAUUAAAAUGGUAACGCAUAUUUUAGGUUUGAAAAGGGGGGGGGUGUAUUUUUGUUAAUAGCUUUACUCGUAAUUAUAGAAUAAUUUAACUCUGUUAUUAUUUUUAUUUUCUUGAAUCGGAAUUAUUUCAAGACGUACUAUAAGCAUAAGACAAAUGCAAGAUGCUAUGCACCAGAAUAAGACAUUGUUUGCUUGUGUAUGCCAGCUCAGGGAGCUUGUCGAAGCAUGUUAGAAGCACACAUUUACUCAUCAAGUAUCCUUGUGACGUGCGUGGAAAGGAGUAUAAACGAACAGACUCCUUAAUGGUUCACAAGAGGAAGUUGCAUCCAGAGUUAUUCAGGCAAGAAGCACAGCAGACAACAUACACCUGCGACAAGUGUACAGACGGAGAGAGGAGUUUCAAUUACAUCUUCCAGGAAACCAUCAGAUACAGGCUGGAACUCUACCAUUGUCUCCAUCAGCACCAGCACCA